UACGUAGGGUGCAAGCGUUGUCCGGAAUUAUUGGGCGUAAAGAGCUCGUAGGCGGUCUGUCGCGUCUGCUGUGAAAACUCAGGGCUUAACCCUGAGCUUGCAGUGGGUACGGGCAGUCUAGAGUGCGGUAGGGGAGACUGGAAUUCCUGGUGUAGCGGUGAAAUGCGCAGAUAUCAGGAGGAACACCGGUGGCGAAGGCGGGUCUCUGGGCCGUAACUGACGCUGAGGAGCGAAAGCAUGGGGAGCGAACAGG
rnacentral:rRNA from 1 species